UCUGAAUCUUGCGAACGGCUCCGCAAACCAGUUGUAAACUAUAGCAAGCAAGCCUUGUGCCUGCCUUCACGGGUGGGUGCUUGGCGAUAUGGAUAACCCUGGUAAUUCUGAGGCUAAUACAAGAACGUAAAACCUGGCUGACUGCUUUCGUGGAAGGCUGGGGGACGUGCGAGUUGUGUCGCGAGAAUUUUCCGGGAAUGGACGCACGUUCAGACCGCGCUAAAAAGGAUCGGCUUCCCUUCACGGGGGGGCUGGCCCCAGCGGCUCUUGCUUUGUGCUUCUGACCUAUCAACUAGAUGGCAGCGUAACGGACAUGCUAUGGUGACAACGGGUACAGAG
rnacentral:rRNA from 1 species